AGAGUUUGAUCCUGGCUCAGGACGAACGCUGGCGGCGUGCCUAAUACAUGCAAGUCGAACGAACUCUGGUAUUGAUUGGUGCUUGCAUCAUGAUUUACAUUUGAGUGAGUGGCGAACUGGUGAGUAACACGUGGGAAACCUGCCCAGAAGCGGGGGAUAACACCUGGAAACAGAUGCUAAUACCGCAUAACAACUUGGACCGCAUGGUCCGAGUUUGAAAGAUGGCUUCGGCUAUCACUUUUGGAUGGUCCCGCGGCGUAUUAGCUAGAUGGUGGGGUAACGGCUCACCAUGGCAAUGAUACGUAGCCGACCUGAGAGGGUAAUCGGCCACAUUGGGACUGAGACACGGCCCAAACUCCUACGGGAGGCAGCAGUAGGGAAUCUUCCACAAUGGACGAAAGUCUGAUGGAGCAACGCCGCGUGAGUGAAGAAGGGUUUCGGCUCGUAAAACUCUGUUGUUAAAGAAGAACAUAUCUGAGAGUAACUGUUCAGGUAUUGACGGUAUUUAACCAGAAAGCCACGGCUAACUACGUGCCAGCAGCCGCGGUAAUACGUAGGUGGCAAGCGUUGUCCGGAUUUAUUGGGCGUAAAGCGAGCGCAGGCGGUUUUUUAAGUCUGAUGUGAAAGCCUUCGGCUCAACCGAAGAAGUGCAUCGGAAACUGGGAAACUUGAGUGCAGAAGAGGACAGUGGAACUCCAUGUGUAGCGGUGAAAUGCGUAGAUAUAUGGAAGAACACCAGUGGCGAAGGCGGCUGUCUGGUCUGUAACUGACGCUGAGGCUCGAAAGUAUGGGUAGCAAACAGGAUUAGAUACCCUGGUAGUCCAUACCGUAAACGAUGAAUGCUAAGUGUUGGAGGGUUUCCGCCCUUCAGUGCUGCAGCUAACGCAUUAAGCAUUCCGCCUGGGGAGUACGGCCGCAAGGCUGAAACUCAAAGGAAUUGACGGGGGCCCGCACAAGCGGUGGAGC
rnacentral:rRNA from 1 species